CCACAGAAACAGAAAACCCUUCGUGAAGCGACAACACGCCCGCGGAAAGAACGGCGAAGACCCAGAGAAACCCACAACAUGCACAGACAAGGCUUGUCGGAUUCAAACAAAUGAACCCCCGAGGACCAACAGAAACACAAGCCCCGGCUACCCGCAAAAAGAGAAGUGAUGAAAACAAGUCAAAAGGAAACAGAAAAAAGGAGACGACAACCCCAAGCCGGCAACACGACAACAGAUAACCCCAAAAAACCUCGCUGGGACCAGACGCCAAGCCAGCAGAAAAGAAAAGAAAAAAGUGAAAGCAGCGAAGGUUACCUGCAAAGCCAUCGAAACACCAUGGAGAAGUGUAAAAGGCCGUUGUGCAUCACCCAUGUCCCCAGGAUGCGCGAUCCUAGGUAGACACCGAUCCUAUCCCGAGGCGAGCCCAAUGCAUCACGUGACAUCGCGCCACACAACGAUGGGCGAACACCAUAACCGCUGCUAGACAAGAACAAGCCCCGCGCCCGCAUGCACUAGAAGACAACAGGUAUCUGAAAAUUUAAAUCAUUUUGACUCUCAAAGUGUGUACCCAAUUAGGGCCUGUUCGGUUAGAGGGGGAAAUUGACCUAAAAUUUCAUGAAUCCCUUUCAAUCCCCACCGGGAUGGGGGUA
rnacentral:lncRNA from 1 species